AGGCUUGUUCAUCAGCAGUACCUGAGGAAGUCUGCACCCUGGUUAUUACAGAAGCUUUCCCAGAAGACUCUGGAAUAUUUAAAUGUGUUGCUGAAAAUGAAUUUGGGUCUGCAGCAUCCAGUGCACAUCUCUCUGUUUCCCCAGGAGCUAAAGAGCUGGAGAGCUUUGGAGGUGCUGUCCCCAGGCCAGCUGUGCAGGUCACCAUGAAGAAAGCCACCCUCCCCAGGAGCAGCCAAGCAGGAGCCAAGGAGCGAGGGGCAGCUGCUCUGCCAUCCUACAGCCCAGAGAGCCCCGGGCUGGGCACUCGAGCUGCAGCCUCCAGCUUUGGCCAGAAGAGCUCCAAGAGCCAAGCUGAAGAUUUCCAUGGAACUUACGAGAACUCCCCUGGGGCUUUGCCUCCGCGGUAAGACAGAGAAAAUCACACCCCAGAGAAAGUCACACCCCUGGGGCAGCUCUUUACAACACUUACGGCAUGAACUGCUCAGGGAUGCCAGCUGCACACUCCAGUGCCCCUCAGCCUGACAGGGAUCGGGCACAGGCAGCAGCCUGAGCUGUUUGCCUGGGUGACAAUGACAAUGUGCAGCACCAUCCUGGCAGGUCCCAUUUGACCAAGGGUGUAACCACCCAAAGCACCAGGGAAGGGCCUGAAGUCGUUUGCAGGAGUCUGUCUGUGUCUAACCUAAAAGCAUCACUCCAAAAAAUUGUCUUCCAGGAGACCUUUGGCUCCACAGCAGAGCAUGAGGCAAAGAUCACAGUACCUGGGAAAGCUCAAGGUACAAUUCUGUUGCCACCACCUUCCUUGGUGGCUUUGGCCGAGCGGCAUCACCUCAUGUUUCUGUUUCCUAUUCUUAAAGACAGCAAUAAAACUUGAGAUCCUGUAAGUGUGGUGCAGACAGGACCUGCAAACCACUCUGUGGAGGAAAAGCACCGAACCAGUGACCCACUGCAUAGAAGGAAAACUGUCCCAUGGCAUGGCAGGGACACUCCCCCCUCAGGAGAUGGAGAUCCUGCCCCAGUAAUAAAGCACUCAGUUUUAUGACAAGACUUGAUCCAAUUUCCAUCCCAAAUGCAUCUCUCAAGUCACUGCACACUUAUUGCAUUAUCAGUUCUGUUUGAUUGCUCCAGAGAAACAAGUCAGGUUAGAAUGCAUAGAUUGGUGACAUCACCCCCAUCUCUGGAGGGCUUCUCAGGGGUUUGCAGAUGCAAGGAUGACCUCGAAUGGUGACAGUUCAGCCAUCCAAGCCCAGCAGAGGAUUCCCCCUGUGCUCUUAGGGACAGCGAGAGCUACGUGUGCCUGCUCUCCCAGCUGAGUGCCAGCCUGCAGCUGCAGGGAUCCUGUUACAGACUUGUGGAAACGGCUGUCCCUGACAGAGACCAUUCCCUGGCUUACAGAUUAUUUUUGGAUGUACUCAGCCAUUUUAACUAAACCAGUUAUUUUAACAAUUCUGAACAGCCUCCUUCAAAUUUUACCACAGGAGAGAUCAUAUUUCAGUAUAGAUAUCUCCAUGCAGGAGAGUUACUUUUUUGCUAAAUCACUGGGUAAAAAUGGUUUUGUUCCAAUAACCAGCAUGCAGAUCAUUAAGAGGAAGCUCUCAGUUUGGCUUCAAGCCCUUCUUUGAAAUCCAGGCU